CUUGGUCAUUUAGAGGAAGUAAAAGUCGUAACAAGGUCUCCGUUGGUGAACCAGCGGAGGGAUCAUUACCGAGUUUACAACUCCCAAACCCCUGUGAACAUACCUAUACGUUGCCUCGGCGGAUCAGCCCGCGCCCUGUAAAACGGGACGGCCCGCCCGAGGACCCUAAACUCUGUUUUUAGUGGAACUUCUGAGUAAAACAAACAAAUAAAUCAAAACUUUCAACAACGGAUCUCUUGGUUCUGGCAUCGAUGAAGAACGCAGCAAAAUGCGAUAAGUAAUGUGAAUUGCAGAAUUCAGUGAAUCAUCGAAUCUUUGAACGCACAUUGCGCCCGCCAGUAUUCUGGCGGGCAUGCCUGUUCGAGCGUCAUUUCAACCCUCAAGCUCAGCUUGGUGUUGGGACUCGCGGUAACCCGCGUUCCCCAAAUCGAUUGGCGGUCACGUCGAGCUUCCAUAGCGUAGUAAUCAUACACCUCGUUACUGGUAAUCGUCGCGGCCACGCCGUAAAACCCCAACUUCUGAAUGUUGACCUCGGAUCAGGUAGGAAUACCCGCUGAACUUAAGCAUAUCAAUAAGCGGAGGA
rnacentral:rRNA from 1 species